UACGAAGGUCCCAAGCGUUAUCCGGAUUUAUUGGGUUUAAAGGGUGUGUAGGCGGGCUUUUAAGUCAGUGGUGAAAUCUCCGGGCUCAACCUGGAAACUGCCAUUGAUACUAUUAGUCUUGAAUUUUGUUGAGGUAGGCGGAAUAAGUCAUGUAGCGGUGAAAUGCAUAGAUAUGACUUAGAACACCAAUUGCGAAGGCAGCUUGCUAAACAAAUAUUGACGCUGAGGCACGAAAGCGUGGGGAUCAAACAGG
rnacentral:rRNA from 1 species